rfam:Haemonchus contortus, ISE/inbred ISE, WGS project CAVP01000000 data, contig: Hcontortus_28400
UGUGUGGUCCGGAGCCAAUGGGUUAUCAGUACAGUUUCUUCUGAAUCUUCCUCCCAUUCGGGAACCCCCUUCCCAUUGGCACUACUUGACCACUUU